GGGGUACACGAGCGGCGAACGGGUGAGUAACACGUGGGUGAUCUGCCCUGCACUCUGGGAUAAGCUUGGGAAACUGGGUCUAAUACCGGAUAUGACCGCAUGCCGCAUGGUGUGUGGUGGAAAGAUUUAUCGGUGCAGGAUGGGCCCGCGGCCUAUCAGCUUGUUGGUGGGGUAAUGGCCUACCAAGGCGACGACGGGUAGCCGACCUGAGAGGGUGACCGGCCACACUGGGACUGAGACACGGCCCAGACUCCUACGGGAGGCAGCAGUGGGGAAUAUUGCACAAUGGGCGGAAGCCUGAUGCAGCGACGCCGCGUGAGGGAUGAAGGCCUUCGGGUUGUAAACCUCUUUCAGCAGGGACGAAGCGUGAGUGACGGUACCUGCAGAAGAAGCACCGGCUAACUACGUGCCAGCAGCCGCGGUAAUACGUAGGGUGCGAGCGUUGUCCGGAAUUACUGGGCGUAAAGAGUUCGUAGGCGGUUUGUCGCGUCGUUUGUGAAAACCCGGGGCUCAACUUCGGGCUUGCAGGCGAUACGGGCAGACUUGAGUGU
rnacentral:rRNA from 1 species